rnacentral:rRNA from 1 species
UCACUUAUAGAUGGACCCGCGCCGUAUUAGCUAGUUGGUAAGGUAACGGCUUACCAAGGCGACGAUACGUAGCCGACCUGAGAGGGUGAUCGGCCACACUGGAACUGAGACACGGUCCAGACUCCUACGGGAGGCAGCAGUAGGGAAUCUUCCGCAAUGGGCGAAAGCCUGACGGAGCAACGCCGCGUGAGUGAUGAAGGGUUUCGGCUCGUAAAACUCUGUUAUUAGGGAAGAACAAAUGUGUAAGUAACUGUGCACGUCUUGACGGUACCUAAUCAGAAAGCCACGGCUAACUACGUGCCAGCAGCCGCGGUAAUACGUAGGUGGCAAGCGUUAUCCGGAAUUAUUGGGCGUAAAGCGCGCGUAGGCGGUUUCUUAAGUCUGAUGUGAAAGCCCACGGCUCAACCGUGGAGGGUCAUUGGAAACUGGGAAACUUGAGUGCAGAAGAGGAAAGUGGAAUUCCAUGUGUAGCGGUGAAAUGCGCAGAGAUAUGGAGGAACACCAGUGGCGAAGGCGACUUUCUGGUCUGUAACUGACGCUGAUGUGCGAAAGCGUGGGGAUCAAACAGGAUUAGAUACCCUGGUAGUCCACGCCGUAAACGAUGAGUGCUAAGUGUUAGG